AUGGAAAAAAUGAAGGUGAAGAGCCAAAGUCUGCUGUUAAAAUUGUCGAAGAAGUGCUCAAGACCAAAGUCAAGCAAAGCAGAUUCCUCAGGAAUGUUGGGCUCCAGUCAUCUAGGAACAACUCCGGCAAAGCAACUGCUGAAGUGGCUGCUCAUGUUCGUGACCUUGAGCAGAAGCUGGAGAGGUCCGAGCUUCAAGCUGAAGUGA
rnacentral:rRNA from 1 species